rnacentral:sRNA from 1 species
GAUACAAGGGGCCAAAAAUAAAAUGCGAACUGCACUUGUGCAAGUGAGCAUUUUUAUUUAUGGACCCGCCCAAAUAUGAGCAAGCAGCAAUUUCCUGCUUUUGCAGGAAAUUAGCGGAUUGCGAAUAUUUGCAGAAUUGCGAGAGCCGCAAAGCGGCGAAGCAAUUCGUGGUAUC